ACAUUGGUGGUUCAGUGGUAGAAUGCUGGUCUGCCACGUGGGUGACCCGGGUUCGAUUCCCGGCCAAUGCA
rnacentral:tRNA from 1 species